rnacentral:SRP_RNA from 1 species
AUACGUGCUAAGCGGGGAGGUAGCGGUGCCCUGUACUCGCAAUCCGCUAUAGCGGGGCCGAAUUCCCACUCGAGGUGGGACGACUUUAUGGUCUGACUUAAGGGAUUGGUGUUGACGCCCGGGUCCUGCGCAACAGGAACCCACGAAUCCUGUCAGGUCCGGAAGGAAGCAGCAGUAAGUGGUUAUUCUUGUGUGCCGCAGGGAAGCCUAGGCCGAGCCAUGAACUUAUGUAGCGCAUAGGGUCGUUUCAUCGACAGUGGGUGCACGUAU